GUGACAGUUCUUGGUAAUGAUUGCAUUGUUAGUUGUACAGUGCAACCGUAGACAGUCACAUACAUCAAAACACAUGGUUCCUGCCGACAGGGUCUGUAAAGCUAUCAGAUUUCUGUGCGAUGGUUCCAUACAUG
rnacentral:snoRNA from 13 species